GCCCAGAUAGUUCAGUGGCAGAACGCUUUCUUGGUAAGAAAGAGGUCGCGGGUCCGAUUCCCGCUCUGGGCU
rnacentral:tRNA from 1 species